rnacentral:rRNA from 1 species
AUACGGGGGGUGCAAGCGUUACUCGGAAUCACUGGGCGUAAAGCGCGCGCAGGCGGUCUUUUAAGUUGGAUGUGAAAGCCUACGGCUCAACCGUAGAACUGCAUCCAAAACUAUUAGACUAGAGUGUGGGAGAGGAAGAUGGAAUUAGUUGUGUAGGGGUAAAAUCCGUAGAGAUAACUAGGAAUACCAAAAGCGAAGGCAAUCUUCUGGAACACUACUGACGCUGAGGCGCGAAAGCGUGGGGAGCAAACAGGAUUAGAAACCCUAGUAGUCC